GCGCGUUUAGCUCAGGUGGUUAGAGCGCAGUCCUGAUAAGACUGAGGUCCCAGGUUCGAGUCCUGGAACGCGCA
rnacentral:tRNA from 2 species